rnacentral:ncRNA from 20 species
GUCUUAUCAAGAGUGGUGGAGGGACUGGCCCUAUGAAGCCCAGCAACCAAGAAUUUUAAUCGAUUCUUAAGGUGCUAAAUCCUGCAGGAAAUCCUGGUAGAUAAGAG